GACGAACCGUGCGAACGUUGUUCGGAAUCACUGGGCUUAAAGGGCGCGUAGGCGGCUCCGAAAGUCCGGGGUGAAAGCCCCCAGCUCAACUGGGGAAGUGCCUCGGAUACUGCGGAGCUCGAGGGAGGUAGGGGCGGAUGGAACUUCCGGUGGAGCGGUGAAAUGCGUUGAUAUCGGAAGGAACGCCGGUGGCGAAAGCGAUCCGCUGGCCCUCUACUGACGCUGAGGCGCGAAAGCCAGGGGAGCAAAGCGGG
rnacentral:rRNA from 1 species